rnacentral:rRNA from 1 species
UACGUAGGUGGCAAGCGUUUGUCCGGAAUUAUUGGGCGUAAAGCGCGCGCAGGCGGCCUCUUAAGUCUGAUGUGAAAGCCCCCCGGCUCAACCGGGGGAGGGCCUUGGAAACUGGGAGGCUUGAGUAUAGGAGAGAAGAGUGGAAUUCCACGUGUAGCGGUGAAAUGCGUAGAGAUGUGGAGGAACACCAGUGGCGAAGGCGGCCAACUGGACAGAUACUGACGCUGAGACACGAAAGCGUGGGGAGCAAACAGG